rnacentral:tRNA from 1 species
UGUUAUUUUACUUAAAUACACCUCGUUCGGGACGAGGGGGUCGGAGGUUCGAAUCCUCUCACUCCGACCA